rnacentral:rRNA from 1 species
GCCAGGGAACUACGAGCAAAGCUUAAAACCCAAAGGACUUGACGGUGCCCCAUAUCCCCCUAGAGGAGCCUGUCCUAUAAUCGAUAAUCCCCGUUUUACCUCACCACUUCUAGCUUUUUCAGCCUGUAUACUUCCGUCGUCAGCCUACCGCGUGAGCGAAAUUCAGUUAGCCUAAUGUCUAUACCUUAACUUAUAACAUCAAUACGUCAGGUCAAAGUGCAGCAAAUGAUGUGGUAAGAGAUUGGCUACACUUUUUAGUUUAAAAUAAACGGAACACAGGAUGAAACUUUGUGCGAAGGUGGAUUUAGAAGUAAAAGGAAAUCAUAAUAUUCAUUUUAACAAGGCACUGGAGCAUGU